CAGCGCCACGGUAAUACAGAGGGUGCGAGCGUUAAUCGGAUUUACUGGGCGUAAAGCGUGCGUAGGCGGCUUCUUAAGUCGGAUGUGAAAUCCCUGAGCUUAACUUAGGAAUUGCAUUCGAUACUGGGAAGCUAGAGUAUGGGAGAGGAUGGUAGAAUUCCAGGUGUAGCGGUGAAAUGCGUAGAGAUCUGGAGGAAUACCGAUGGCGAAGGCAGCCAUCUGGCCUAAUACUGACGCUGAGGUACGAAAGCAUGGGGAGCAAACAGGAUUAGAUACCCCGGUAGUCCCUGUCUCUUAUACA
rnacentral:rRNA from 1 species